rnacentral:rRNA from 1 species
GUGGGGAAUAUUGGACAAUGGGCGCAAGCCUGAUCCAGCCAUGCCGCGUGAGUGAUGAAGGCCUUCGGGUUGUAAAGCUCUUUAGCCGAUGAUUAUAAUGACUGUAGUCGGAAAAUAAGCCCCGGCUAACUUCGUGCCAGCAGCCGCGGUAAUACGAAGGGGGCGAGCGUUAUUCGGAAUCACUGGGCGUAAAGCGUGCGUAGGCGGCUUUGCAAGUUGGGAGUGAAAGCCCAGGGCUCAACCCUGGAAUUGCUCUCAAAACUGCAAGGCUCGAAUUCGGGAGAGGAUAGCGGAAUUGUCAGUGUAGCAGUGAAAUGCGUAGAUAUUGACAGGAACACCAGUGGCGUAAGCGGCUAUCUGGACCGAUAUUGACGCUGAGGCACGAAAGCGUGGGGAUCAAACAGGAUUAGAUACCCCAGUAGUCC